UACUCUUGGCUUCUCUUCAUCGUAUGAUUCUUUCGCCUUUUACUAAAGAAUUCCGUGGAGGGGAGCAUUUCAAUGAGUCUUAAGAUAUUUUUCUGCACCUGACUUUGGUCAGGUU
ensembl:snRNA U5 U5 spliceosomal RNA